GUUGUUCGAGACUAGAACGUUGAUAGGCAGGGUGUGUAAGCGUUGUGAGGCGUUGAGCUAACCUGUACUAAUUGCCCGUGAGGCUUAACCAUACAACACCCAAGGGGUUUUGUA
rnacentral:rRNA from 1 species